UACGUAGGGGGCUAGCGUUGUCCGGAUUUAUUGGGCGUAAAGAGCGUGUAGGCGGCCAGGUAGGUCUGGUGUGAAAACUCGAGGCUCAACCUCGAGCUGUCGGUGGAAACUGUCUGGCUAGAGUCCGGAAGAGGAGAGUGGAAUUCCUGGUGUAGCGGUGAAAUGCGCAGAUAUCAGGAAGAACACCUAUGGCGAAGGCAGCUCUCUGGGACGGUACUGACGCUGAGACGCGAAAGCGUGGGGAGCGAACAGG
rnacentral:rRNA from 1 species